GGUCGGGAGUAGGCUAAUACAAUACCCUUCGGGGGAAUAGGCCUGGCUGUUUGUGUGCAGUUCUCAGCUCCCGGCCCUUUGUUA
rnacentral:ncRNA from 1 species